AUGGCGUACUCCUCCUGUUUGAAUCGGUGUUUGAAACCAAACAAACUUCUCCUCAGGAGGAUAGAUGGGGCGAUUCAGGUGAGAUCCCAUGUAGAUCUAACUUUCUAUUCACUCGUGGGAUCCAGGCGGUCCGGGGGCACCACGGCUCCUCUCUUCUCGAGAAUCCAUACAUCCCUUAUCAGUAUAUGGAGAGCUAUCUCUCGAGCACCACAUGCAAGCAUGCACGAUACAAGCACAGGAGAGCAAAGGGCAAGUACAAAUUGGACAACGAGAUCAAGAUAG
rnacentral:rRNA from 1 species